rnacentral:rRNA from 1 species
GGGGAAUUUUGGACAAUGGGGGCAACCCUGAUCCAGCCAUGCCGCGUGUGUGGAGAAGGCCUUCGGGUUGUAAAGCACUUUCAGUCAGGAGGAAGGUGGUGUAGCUAAUAUCUGCACCAAUUGACGUUACUGACAGAAGAAGCACCGGCUAACUACGUGCCAGCAGCCGCGGUAAUACGUAGGGUGCGAGCGUUAAUCGGAAUUACUGGGCGUAAAGCGUGCGCAGGCGGUUUUGUAAGACAGGCGUGAAAUCCCCGGGCUCAACCUGGGAACGGCGCUUGGGACUGCAAGACUAGAGUACGGCAGAGGGGGGUGGAAUUCCACGUGUAGCAGUGAAAUGCGUAGAGAUGUGGAGGAACACCAAUGGCGAAGGCAGCCCCCUGGGUCGAUACGGACACUGAGGUGCGAAAGCGUGGGGAGCAAACA